rnacentral:rRNA from 1 species
AGUGGCGAACGGGUGAGUAACACGUGGGCAAUCUGCCCUGCACUCUGGGAUAAGCCCGGGAAACUGGGUCUAAUACCGGAUACGACACUCCGAGGCAUCUUGGGGUGUGGAAAGUUCCGGCGGUGCAGGAUGAGCCCGCGGCCUAUCAGCUUGUUGGUGGGGUAAUGGCCUACCAAGGCGACGACGGGUAGCCGGCCUGAGAGGGUGACCGGCCACACUGGGACUGAGACACGGCCCAGACUCCUACGGGAGGCAGCAGUGGGGAAUAUUGCACAAUGGGCGAAAGCCUGAUGCAGCGACGCCGCGUGAGGGAUGACGGCCUUCGGGUUGUAAACCUCUUUCAGCAGGGAAGAAGCGAAAGUGACGGUACCUGCAGAAGAAGCACCGGCUAACUACGUGCCAGCAGCCGCGGUAAUACGUAGGGUGCGAGCGUUGUCCGGAAUUAUUGGGCGUAAAGAGCUCGUAGGCGGUUUGUCGCGUCGAUUGUGAAAGCCCGGGGCUUAACCCUGGGUCUGCAGUCGAUACGGGCAGGCUAGAGUUCGGCAGGGGAGACUGGAAUUCCUGGUGUAGCGGUGAAAUGCGCAGAUAUCAGGAGGAACACCGGUGGCGAAGGCGGGUCUCUGGGCCGAUACUGACGCUGAGGAGCGAAAGCGUGGGGAGCGAACAGGAUUAGAUACCCUGGUAGUCCACGCCGUAAACGGUGGGCACUAGGUGUGGGCAACAUUCCACGUUGUCCGUGCCGCAGCUAACGCAUUAAGUGCCCCG